GCCCUAGAAAAAAUCUAAGGUGUAACCUGCCCAAUGAUUUUUAAAUUAAGAAAUAUAAUAUUUUCUAAAAAAAUUUAAAGGACGCAGUAACCUGACUGUGAUAAUGUAGCAUAAUCAUUCGCCAUUUAAUUGAUGGAUAGUAUGAAAGGUUGAACGAAUUCUUCACUGUCUUAAAUAAAGAUUUAAUGAAAUUUAAAUAAUAGUAAAGAUGCUAUUUAAAAUUGUAAGACGAAAAGACCCUAUAGAGCUUAACUAUAACUCUUUUAAAAUAAAAUUAAACAAAAUUUAAUUUAAAAAAGAGGUAGGUAGUUUAGUUGGGGCGACUAUCUUCUAAAAAUAACGAAGAUAAGCAAUAUUAAAAACAAAUUUAUUGUAUAAUCUAUAAAUUUAACAAUUACAAAAGUAGGCUUUAAUGACCCGUUAAAAUAAAAUAAAAUAAUUAACGAUCAAUAAAUAAAAGCUACCUUAGGGAUAACAGGAUAAUUUCAUUCUAGAGACCCUAUCGAAAAUGAAGUUUGUCACCUCUAUGUUGAAUUAAGAUAUCCUGAUAAUGCAGAAGUUAUCAAAGGUAGGUCUGUUCGACCUUUAAAAUCUU
rnacentral:rRNA from 1 species